GUUCCACUUUCUGCACACUGUAACAAGCCAUUUACAGGCUCUGAGGAAGUUGUGCUUGAUGAUUAGUUCUCUGGGGCUCCUUCUGCCUGCAGAGCAGUUUCAUAUAUGAUCCUGCCAAGCAAGAACCUGAGCAGACCAAAAUCUGCUUUUCUGAAGCCCCUGCAGUCACCAGAGCUGUGCUACAACACAUUUUAGUGGUUGGAUUUGUGUUUGCACAGUCCAUCUGCACUGCUCGUUUGCUAACCUGCUCUCUGAAAGCUGACUCAAUUUACUGAGGAGUCAGAGGAAUACCAGUCAGAGCAAACAAGGAGGCAUUUUGGCUGGAAGUAGAGGACCACAGAGAGAAAGAGCUAGAAACACUCACUGCCCUGAGAGAAGACCGCUGUUCCUGGACGCCUCGAUAAAGCAAUUCCUUCCGUCUCACCCAGCUGUGCUACUUUACAUAAACAGGUUCUGUCUGAAGAAGUUGGUGAGGAAGUCAACUACUCUGGGCAUUUGUGUUUGCAAAAUAUUAUUCCAACAAGCAGAAUACACACAGUAAAGUUUCUUUGCUUUUACUGAGGAGACCACAGACCCUCCUUAAGUGUAUUUCAGAGCAAUAGUACAUGCUUGCCAGGGCUGUAUUUGCAGCUUCUUUCUGCUUGCAGUCCUUCACUUUCAUUUCCCCCUUUCAUGCUGUUACACUGUUCCAAAGCUGUAACCAGGAAACUCCUCUGCUCACAUAGUUCACAUUUCUAAGUGGAUUAAUGUGCAAAUGCAUGUUUUCACAAAUUGGCUGAAAAACAGAAGACAAAUAAACAUAAGCAAAUGACUGAAA